rnacentral:misc_RNA from 1 species
AAGGAGUCGUCUUCGUAUGCGAGUGUUCGGGUGUCAAACCCCUACGCGUAAUGAAAGUGAACGUAGGUGAGAGCUUCGGCGCAUCACCGACCGAUCCUGAUGUUCUCGGAUGGGUUUGAGUAAGAGCAUACGGGGCCGGACCCGAAAGAAGGUGAACUAUGCCUGUAUAGGGUGAAUCCAGAGGAAACUCUGAUGGAGGCUCGCAGCGGUUCUGACGUGCAAAUCGAUCGUCAAAUAUGGGCAUGGGGGCGAAAGACUAAUCGAACCUUCUAGUAGCUGGUUUCCGC